rnacentral:lncRNA from 1 species
ACUUGAAAUGUUGUUAACUUUUUAUCUAUUUACUUUUAUAUUUAGAAUACAAGAUCAGAUCUGUCACCAAAUUUCAGGCAAUAAAGAGUCUGAACACACCAAAGGACAAAAACUAAGUUGUUACUGAAUACUGGACACUGCACAGAAGCCACGCCCCACUGCAACACAUUCUAAAUCAACACAGAAGAUUAACCUCUUGCAAAUUUAAUGGGUAAAGUGAAUAUUUAACUGAAGAGCUGCAACACAACGAAGAGUAGAGUUUGUGGACUGUAUCCAUCCAUUCUCUGUAAGAUGUUUUAUCUUCAUUAUCUCUAAUAUUUGAUCUAAAACUCAUCCCACACAAUUUCUCUUACAGGAAGACAUGACUUU